UUAUGCCACUUUUAUUAAAAAUGAGUUGGCAUUCAAACUUUUGAAAAUUUUAUAAUUUUUAUUUUUUUAGAACAUGAAGAAAAUACACUAAUGUAGUUAAGGGAAAAUGUCUUCUUUUACAUUGACAAAAUUGUGUAUGAAACUCUUGGUGACUUGGAAUUUUACUUAAUUUUUGAGCCAUGUUUGGCAAUGAAAAACAGUUGUUUUUUUUUUAAAAAAAGAGAUUUUUCAAAAUGCCAUUAACAGUCUGAAUUUUUACUUCAGGCAUUUGGGUUGUCUUUACAUUGAAAACCAUGAAAAUUAUGUUUUAUAGUUUUCCACUUAUAUUUUAAUGCACAUGUUAGGCUAAUAAUUAAAAUUAUUUUGCAGAUACAUGGAAAAUGUGGUAUCUUAAGGUACUGACCCUCAACACAUCCUCAGAAUUAUUAUACACAACCUCUAAGAGAUCCUUCCUCUUUUCUACUGCCUUGUCUUAGAAACAUUUUAGAAUAUUUGAUUAUUUUAUAAAUUAAAUUGGAUUAUGGCUUGAUACUUUUCUGAAGAUGUUCAUGGUUCUGGUGGAUUGCUGCGAUGAGUAGGCUGUGAAAUCCUGCUUUCCUCGGAACUAAAUGCUUUUGCUUUGCAUUUGUAUCUUCCUGCAGAUACAUCCCUGAUUACUUUCUCUGAGACCCUGCUAGCAUGAGUGAGCAAAGACUCUGAAAAAAAAAAAAAAAAAAAAAAAAAAGGAAAGACUAAGAAGAAAAAUAAGGAGAUCAAGAAAAUGGAGCAGAAUCUGGACAGAGACGCCUGCCACGUGUUGCUACUCUUGCCUUGAGAGGAAGGAAGGAAGACUAAGUAGUAGCAAGAGGCCAGAGAAUAAGCUGGUGGUAAAGUGUGUGUAAGUGCAGAGGCAGGAGGCAAGAGGGUAGCAGGCUGGAGGAAGACCACUCUCCUUAUCUUCCAGACGACCUGCGCUUGGAGCCAACACUCUUAGAAAGGGUCUCACUCAUCAACCAAGCUGGAGUGGCAUGAACAUGGCUCGCUGCAGCCUCAACCUCCUGUGUUCAAGUGAUCCUCCCAUUCAGCCUCCCGAGUA